UACGUAGGGGGCAAGCGUUGUCCGGAGUUACUGGGCGUAAAGCGCACGCAGGCGGUCGCGUAAGAGUGCGGGGACAGUGGGCGGCUUAACUGCCCAAGGGUCGCACAGACUGCGUGACUGGAGGGCCAGAGAGGGACCUGGAAUUCUGGGUGGAGCGGUGAAAUGCGUAGAGAUCCGGAGGAACACCAAUGGCGAAGGCAGGGUCCUGGCUGGCACCUGACGCUCAUGUGCGAAAGCCAGGGGAGCGAACGGG
rnacentral:rRNA from 1 species